rnacentral:tRNA from 1 species
GGGGCUGUAGCUCAGUGGUAGAGCAUUUGCCUUGAAUGCGUAAGGCACUAGGUUUGAUCCUCAGCACCA